UACGUAGGGGGCAAGCGUUGUCCGGAAUCAUUGGGCGUAAAGCGCGCGUAGGCGGCCCGGUAAGUCCGUUGUAAAAGUCAAAGGCUCAACCUUUGAAAGCCGAUGGAUACUGCCGGGCUAGAAUCCGGAAGAGGCGAGUGGAAUUCCUGGUGUAGCGGUGAAAUGCGCAGAUAUCAGGAGGAACACCAAUUGCGAAGGCAGCUCGCUGGGACGUCACUGACGCUGAGACGCGAAAGCGUGGGGAGCAAACAGG
rnacentral:rRNA from 1 species